rnacentral:rRNA from 1 species
UACGUAGGGGGCGAGCGUUGUCCGGAUUUAUUGGGCGUAAAGCGCCCGCAGGCGGUGCGCCAAGUGUGGGGUGACAGCGACCGGCUUAACCGGUCGAGUGUCCUACAGACUGGCGCACUUGAGGGCUUCAGAGGGACACGGAAUUCCGGGUGGAGUGGUGAAAUGCGUAGAGAUCCGGAGGAACACCAAAGGCGAAGGCAGUGUCCUGGGGAGUACCUGACGCUCAGGUGCGAAAGCCAGGGGAGCGAACGGG